rnacentral:rRNA from 1 species
GACGAACGCUGGCGGCGUGCUUAAAACAUGCAAGUCGAACGGACUUCUCAUGAAGCUUGCGAUUGAGAAGUUAGUGGCGGACGGGUGAGUAACGCGUGGGCAACCUGCCCCUGAGCCCGGGAUAACAGUUCGAAAGGACUGCUAAGACCGGAUAUACUUGCGGUGAAGCAUUUCACUGCAAGGAAAGGGAACGCUCAGGGAUGGGCCCGCGUCCCAUUAACUAGUUGGUGAGGUAACGGCCCACCAAGGCGACGAUGGGUAGCCGGCCUGAGAGGGUGAACGGCCACACUGGGACUGAGACACGGCCCAGACCCCUACGGGAGGCAGCAGUUGGGAAUCUUCGGCAAUGGGCGCAAGCCUGACCGAGCAACGCCGCGUGAGUGAUGAAGGUUUUCGGAUUGUAAAGCUCUGUCUUCCGGGACGAUAAUGACGGUACCGGAGGAGGAAGCCACGGCUAACUACGUG